UACGGAGGGGGCUAGCGUUGUUCGGAAUUACUGGGCGUAAAGCGCACGUAGGCGGAUUGGAAAGUUGGGGGUGAAAUCCCGGGGCUCAACCCCGGAACUGCCUUCAAAACCUCCCAGUCUGGAGGUCGAGAGAGGUGAGUGGAAUUCCGAGUGUAGAGGUGAAAUUCGUAGAUAUUCGGAGGAACACCAGUGGCGAAGGCGGCUCACUGGCUCGAUACUGACGGCUGAGGUGCGAAAGCGUGGGGAGCAAACAGG
rnacentral:rRNA from 1 species